rnacentral:tRNA from 9 species
GGAGAGGUGGCAGAGUGGUCGAAUGCGCUCGACUUGAAAUCGAGUGGGCGUUAACAGCGUCCCGGGGGUUCGAAUCCCCCCCUCUCCG